AAACAAUGCAUCGGGCAUUUUCUAAUUAAUUCUUUGAAACGCUCCCAUGCUUCGUAUAAUGUCUCAUCUUCAGAUUAUCUGAACGAUGUAAUUUCAUUCCUCAGCUU
rnacentral:snoRNA from 1 species